GAUGAACGCUGGCGGUAUGCUUAACACAUGCAAGUCGAACGGACUCUUCGGAGUUAGUGGCGGACGGGCGAGUAAUGCGUGAGAAUCUGGCUUUGGGUUCGGGACAACCACUGGAAACGGUGGUUAAUACCGGAUGUGACGAGAGGUAACAGAGAAAUUGCCUGAAGAUGAGCUCGCGUCUGAUUAGCUAGUUGGUGAGGACAAGGCUCACCAAGGAAGCGAUCAGUAGCUGGUCUGAGAGGAUGACCAGCCACACUGGGACUGAGGCACGACCCAGACUCCUACGGGAGGCAGCAGUGGGGAAGAAUCCGCAAUGGGCGGAAAACUGACGAAGCAGUACCGCGGGGGGGAAGAAGGCUCAUGGGUUGUAGUACUCUUUUCUUAGGGAAGAACAAAAUGACGGUACCUAAGGAAGCAGCAUCGGCUAACUCCGUG
rnacentral:rRNA from 1 species